CGGCUCCUCGACCGGCUCUCGGUGCACGGCUUCCCGCGCCGCGAGUACCUCGCCGACGACGUGGCCGCGCGGAUCGCCUCCACCGAGGCCGC
rnacentral:tRNA from 1 species